CUGUAGCCAAUUAAGUGACCAGGCUCCUUCACGCCUGGGGCCUGGUCUGCAGUGUUAGCAGGUAGCAGCCUCCAUGGUGGUACAGGCAGCCUACUGUUUCAAGAGUUUCUCUAAGGGGACUUGGAGACAGAG
ensembl:snoRNA SNORA70 Small nucleolar RNA SNORA70